UACGUAGGGGGCAAGCGUUGUCCGGAAUCAUUGGGCGUAAAGCGCGUGUAGGCGGCCAGGUAAGUCCGUUCUGAAAGCCCGGGGCUCAACCCCGGGAGGCGGAUGGAUACUGCUUGGCUCGAGUCCGGAAGAGGCGAGUGGAAUUCCCGGUGUAGCGGUGAAAUGCGCAGAGUAUCGGGAAGGAACACCAAUGGCGAAGGCAGCUCUCUGGGCCCUACCUGACGCUGAGACGCGAAAGCGUGGGGAGC
rnacentral:rRNA from 1 species